GUCGGCACCGGGUGCAGAGCCUCACCCUGGAACUUGCAGCUGCAGAGGCUUCCUGUUGUUUUUCGCCUCCCCUAAGGCGGAGAACAGAGCCCGGCCGGCGGACUGGGGAGAGGAGGGGAGGUGUGCGCCGGGAAAAGGCGAACGAGACGGCAGGAGUGUGUGCACUGGCAGGUGGCUUAAGGACCAGCUGUGCUGACAGUUCAACAAAAUGAGAAAACCAAAAUCUUCAGGCAGAUUAUGUUCAUGAGUUUACCCUGGGGCUGACAGAUGUGCAACGUUAAGAUUGCCAGUCGUAAGUUCUUGCAUUUAUUGUUGUUCAUUAAGGCUACUUAGU